rnacentral:lncRNA from 1 species
GACUGUAUAAAGCUGUAAAUAUGGUUAUAAUAAACUGCAUGUUUCUGUGUGUGUGUUUUUUCUGCAGUCUGAGGUGGAGAGAGCACGUUUCUGUGGAGACUUGUUGAGGACUGUAAACACUGAUACAGCAUACAAAGCUCAGCUCAGAGUUUUCAUCAGUAAAGAAUUAAGUGUGUCUGGUUGCUAUGGCUCCUUCCUUGCCGACCCAAACUCCCGCUGUGUUGCCAUGGCAGCACUUGAUUGGCGCACAGCCCUGGCAUUUGAGUUCACACACAGUAAAUCCCUUGAUGAAAUGAGAGGCGUGGCCAUACAGUUCUGUCUUACAGCAGCUCUACAGGAGAGAGGAAAACACGGGUCCACACUGUUACUUUGGCCAGCUCCCAGAACCUGCUGGACACGUUCCGAACCAGCCAAGCUGAGACACUGCUUACUUUCUACUGCAAAAAGAGUAAGCUAAAGCUAAAACCUUAACACAUCUACUCUUAUAUCAAAAUAAUUAAACAACGUGUAUAGAAUUAGGAUGCAGCUUUACCUAUCCUUGGCACUCCCCCAGUAUUGGGACACCUGCUUUUUUAUUGGUUCUUCUAAAAUCAGGCAUGUUAAAUAAAGAGUUUUGCUUGCUUUUGUUGGAGUAACUC